GUCCCUUUGAUGACAUCCGAUAAAAUUAGAAUGAUACAGAGAAGAUUUAUAUGACCCAUGCGUAAGAAUGACAUGCAUAAAUCGAGAAAUGAUUUAAAUUGGA